GGCCUUUCAAGUAUUCUCCUGGCAUUCUGAGACUAAAGGUGUCAUGAUCACCCUAAGCCAUUUGGAAAUUGUCAUGGCAAAUUGUGCAGGAAAAAUGGAGACAAUCUAACUGUAUAUGAGAAGAAUGAGUAAUAAACUGUGGCUUAGUCAUUCAAUGGAAUACUACAUCUAGUUCAACUGAAUGAAAAUAAUCUCCAUGGAUCAACUUGGACCUCCCAGGCCCUGGCGUGAAGGUGGCACUGUGACUAGCUCUUGCCGAUGGAAUGGGAGGAGUCAGUUAGAAAUUUUCAUAUGGUCAAAAUACCCAUGGAAUAUAUGAGUGGCAGCAGUAAACAAUCCUUGAAGUUCUUGCUUGUUUAACUUGACUGUUGGUGAUGCCCAAUGAGGCCCUGUCUGCUCCAAGCAAAUUACAUAAAAAAGAUGUGAAUAAAAACUCAUCAAAUACUAACAGAGACUGUGUCUAAGAUGCCAAUUGAAGACUGGAACAGCCAUAUGAGUGUGGGGUAUUCCUGGAAACCUGUUCUAGUAGGCACUGGAGAAGACACAGGAACCUCUCAAUACAGAAUAGACACACUUUGCACUCAGUAAUAAUGCACUAAUUGACGAAUAUAUUGACGGAGUGUUGGUUUGCUUCACAAUCUGCUGGUAAACAUAUUCAUUUUUGGGUGAAUUUCAGGCCUUAUAGGUAAAAUCUGUUUUUGCUUUUUCCAUUUUUUUUCAAUCCUCUAAUUUUUGGCUUUCUUUGCUACUUAGAAGCAGAAGUGGAAGAAACUAAAAUCAGCAGAAUGAGGGCUGCAUGCAGGUAGACACACUUUUCUGAAUGUGUGUGUGUGUGUGUGUGUGUGUGUGUGUACAUACAUACAUAGUUCUUAGGUUGGAGAAAAAUACCUUUCCCCUCUACCUCUUGGAUAUUGUAUGAACUGUAUCUCAAUUCCAAAGCCACAAUUCCCAUUUUUCCUUUGGGAUCUGACAAGAAUUUCGUCUUCUGCAGUGGGAAUGCAUCCACUGUGGACAUGCCAGUCUACCCUAGCAUUACACUUUGUAAACCAACACGAUCUGACUGUAGCUGGGACAACAACCUAUAGUGACAAUAGUGGCAACUUACACUAAUUAGGACUAGAGAGAUUUUCAAACUGAUGUCCAUUCAUCCUACGCCCAGCACCUCUUGUAUCCUGGCAUAUAAGCACCUCUUCUAUUAGCAAUUUAACAUGUAUGUAUGAGCUUGUAUCAAAGGACACAGGCACCUCUUGUAUCCCUUGUGGACAAACUCCUUAGUUUUUAAUUUAAAACAUUAAGCAAGAAUUAACACAAUAGGCUUUUUGCCUCUUCAUUGCCAAUCUUCUUCAGUGAACACUCUGCUCCAAGUUGUAGUUAAAGAAAUCUCAAAUUCAAUCUUGGGCAUAUUUCCUUUGGCUUCACUUGUGACACGUCUCUAAAUAAAUAUCAGCAUUUUGCAACUUUGAAAAAUAUCAGGAAUGCACAUUUCUCCAUAAAACCCAGGAAAUUCUAAGUAUUAGAGCAUGAGCCAUAACUCCAUGACCCUUUAUGUGGAGGAUUAGUGGGCAUGGCCUCCCUCCAGCACAUGCUUAGGUCUCUCCAUAUCGGGUGGUACACAUGGCCAUCUGGAUAGAAGCAACAUCGGCUUAGCAGCAACUGCUGUGAGAACUCUGAAUUUCAACUCUCUGAUGGGAGACUCACAUUUUUAAACAGUACAUUGCCCUGGAAGGUACACUCAUGCCACCUGCACUGGCUGGUAUGAAGGAAACAUGGGUACAUUGAAUGCACUAAGGAAAGGUGAUCCUCGCCCACACAGUCUUGUGGCACAAGUGGGAGCUAUGUUAGAAAUUUUUCAAGAAUGCGGUUCACAGUGGUGAGAUCUGGUCAGGCAAUCUAUGUCUUUCCUGGGAUAGAGCGUAAAUACAGUCCACCCAUGGUAAAAAUCAGAGGCAGGCAAAAAAUAAUGAGGAAGCCAUUCACAGAAGAGGAAGCACAAAUAGCUACUGAACAUAAGACAAAAUGAACAAUCACAGUGGUUAUCAGGGAAAUUAUAGGGAAAACUGCAAUAGGUUACCAUUUUAUGCCAAAAUGUAUGAAUGGGCAUUACAUGUCUGAUACUACCAAGUGAUGGUGUGGAUAUUGAAUAACAGGAGAUCUUAUGCCCUGCUGGUGGGAGUACACAUUGGUUCAAUUACUUUAGAGAAAAAUUUGGCAUUAUUUAGUCAAGGUGCAAAUGCACAUUUGCUAUCCUCCUGGUAGUUUUCUAUUAGAGCAAAUCCCACACAAGCGCUCAGGGAGAUAUAUACAUGGAUAUUUGGAGAAAGAUUGUUAAAACAAAACAAUGAAAACAACCUGAUGUUCAUCAACAAUGCAUACCGAAACUGCGGCACCUUCAUAUAAUUAAGUGUUACAACGGGGGUGGGGGUAAAGCGAGGGGAAAUGAACAACUGCUACGUGCAUCAACAAGGAUGAAGC
rnacentral:lncRNA from 10 species